GGGGGAAAAAAUGGUGGACUGCGUUGUUUGGCGACCCCCGUGAAAUGGUCGUUAGACCCCAAAUGGGGUCCCAACCCACAGGUGGAGAACCACUGAUCUACAUUCUUCCCUCUGCAGGCAGAGAGACAGCUUUGGGACUUGGGGACCAUUGUUCCCUGUCAGCCCAGGAAAGUGGCAGUGGCAAAUCACCAAGAAAACGGCAUAGAAGUAACUCCGUAGAGGUGCAUCUGGUUGUUAAGGCAGGACAGUGGGCGGUGAGUUCCAAUCGUGCAAUACGCACGACGGGCAGCUGUGUAGCUUUGGGCCAACAACUGAGAUAUGGCAACUUCUAUUCUUGAAAUCCACACAACAGCCGGCUGAGUGACUUUGGUCCGACAACCAGGAGAUGACAGAGAAUUGGACCCGAUGGAAUGGAUGAAAAAAAGAACAACGGAUGAGGAAGACCCUCCUGGCUAAGACCACCGUGAAGCUAGGCCGAGGCCCCCUCCGCCCCCCACGCAGACUGAGGUCGCUGUCAGAUCCGCCACCUUCGGCUUGGUGCCUCGCUGCCUUUCUGCAUCAACCGGAGAAAGGGAGGGGGCAACACAGGGGCAAUACAGCUGUAUACCUUUGUGAUGGGAAAUUGGGAGGGGGGGGUGACGGCUGAGGAAGCACCAAGCGGUUUGGAAUCCGGUCCGUGCCGGCAUCUUCAAUGCCACGUACCCUGGGAAUGGAAUUUCACCAGCCCAAACACCUCAGCGCUUUCCAAGACAUCUCGGCGGUGCCGGAUUGGCUGCCCACGGGUGGGCCUUGGGGGCAGGGAACAGGGGAUUCGUUCUGUAUUGAUGCGCGGGAAACUCCAGAUUCCACCCGACUCUCCUGCAACCAGCCUCUCUUGGUAAAAGCGCCUUUUCACUUCAACCCGGUGGAGUCGAGGGUUUCUCCCUCCUCGGAGAUCAGACUGGAGCAGGUCUGACAGUCCCCCGUUGCGUGAUCCGAAGUCAGCGACCGAAGUGGGACCCUGGCCGUUUCACUGGGCGGUUGCUGAAGGAGCCACAACCACUUGAUGCUCUGCCGGGUCAACCAACAACUCAUGAAUCCAAACCGGAGCAUUGUGGGCGUGCUGGCUGGGAAUUCUGGGAGUUGAAGUCCCCACAUCUCAAAGUUUCCAAGUUGGAGAGGCACCGAUUUAGAGGCUUCCCCUCUCCAGAUGGCUGCGGGUAGCUGACUUUGCCCAAGAGAAUCAUCAAAAUAAAAAAGAAAGAAGCGGACCGUAAGCAUCCAGGAGACCCACUGAACAUAGGGCAACCCGUGAGGGCAUCUCCACCACCCUGCCCCGACGCCUGGCACCGCACCCAGCUUUGCCGGCACACAGAAGAACUCUACCUGGACUCGUCUCAAUUCGACUCUUAAUUUAUUCCUAAUAAAUCAUGAGACC